rnacentral:tRNA from 1 species
CCGUACAGCAGUAGUGGUUAGGAUUCGUGGUUUUCACCCACGCGGACCGGGUUCGAUUCCCGGCAUGGGAA